ACGUGGGAACGUGCCUUUUGGUUCGGAACAACACAGGGAAACUUGUGCUAAUACCGGAUAAGCCCUUACGGGGAAAGAUUUAUCGCCAAAAGAUCGGCCCGCGUCUGAUUAGCUAGUUGGUGGGGUAAUGGCCCACCAAGGCGACGAUCAGUAGCUGGUCUGAGAGGAUGAUCAGCCACACUGGGACUGAGACACGGCCCAGACUCCUACGGGAGGCAGCAGUGGGGAAUAUUGCACAAUGGGCGAAAGCCUGAUGCAGCCAUGCCGCGUGUGUGAAGAAGGCCUGCGGGUUGUAAGCAC
rnacentral:rRNA from 1 species